GGAUAUCUAUUUUGAGCUCUAAAAGGGCGUCCAUAGGGCAGUAACAAAAAAAAAAAUUAUUAUUGCUAGUUUGUCCACAAUCGGUGCUCUUAUGACUGCAAUGUGACUGCCAGUUGAGAAGUCAGGCAAGGGCAUUCUUUCAGAUGUCUUGAAAUGCCUUGGCGACACAGAAAGCAUAUGCGUGACUGUACAUUGAGUACCUUAGAUGAUUGGCUUGGUGCUGCUCAUCUUGAUAAAAUGCUACCAUAUAUUACAGCUGUUCUGACAGACGCUAAAAUAUCCAGAAGACAACUUGCUGGAUUGGUCGCUGUUUGUGUCAACUUUAUGUCUCAGAUUAUUUCCUCAAACCCACUGCAUCUGCUAUGACGGUUUUUCAUUACGCAAGGUUGUUAUUCUGUAGGUAGCUAUUUGUGUCAACUUUAUGUCUCAGGAUAUUUCUUGGCUACCUUUCCAGUAUAAAUAAUCAGAUGUUCGUAAAGAGGCUGAAGCAUGCUUUAAUGAAAU